ACCUUUGACAUGUACGGAAUCCUUUAGAGAUAGAGGAGUGCUCGAAAGAGAACCGUAACACAGGUGCUGCAUGGCUGUCGUCAGCUCGUGUCGUGAGAUGUUGGGUUAAGUCCCGCAACGAGCGCAACCCUUGUCAUUAGUUGCUACAUUCAGUUGGGCACUCUAAUGAGACUGCCGGUGACAAACCGGAGGAAGGUGGGGAUGACGUCAAGUCCUCAUGGCCCUUAUAGGUGGGGCUACACACGUCAUACAAUGGAUGGUACAAAGGGUCGCCAACCCGCGAGGGGGAGCCAAUCCCAUAAAGCCAUUCGUAGUCCGGAUCGCAGUCUGCAACUCGACUGCGUGAAGUCGGAAUCGCUAGUAAUCGUGGAUCAGAAUGUCACGGUGAAUACGUUCCCGGGUCUU
rnacentral:rRNA from 1 species